UACGUAGGGUGCGAGCGUUAAUCGGAUUUACUGGGCGUAAAGCGCACGUAGGCGGAUCGAUCAGUCAGGGGUGAAAUCCCAGAGCUCAACUCUGGAACUGCCUUUGAUACUGUCGAUCUGGAGUAUGGAAGAGGUGAGUGGAAUUCCGAGUGUAGAGGUGAAAUUCGUAGAUAUUCGGAGGAACACCAGUGGCGAAGGCGGCUCACUGGUCCAUUACUGACGCUGAGGUGCGAAAGCGUGGGGAGCAAACAGG
rnacentral:rRNA from 1 species